UAAAUUGAGAGUUUGAUCCUGGCUCAGGACGAACGCUGGCGGCGUGCCUAACACAUGCAAGUCGAGCGAUGAAGCUCCUUCGGGAGUAGAUUAGCGGCGGACGGGUGAGUAACACGUGGGUAACCUGCCUCAUAGAGGGGAAUAGCCUCCCGAAAGGGAGAUUAAUACCGCAUAAAGUAUGAAGGUCGCAUGACUUUUAUACCAAAGGAGUAAUCCGCUAUGAGAUGGACCCGCCGCGCAUUAGCUAGUUGGUGAGGUAAGGGCUCACCAAGGCAACGAUGCGUAGCCGACCUGAGAGGGUGAUCGGCCACAUUGGA
rnacentral:ncRNA from 1 species